CACGGGGGGAGCAAGCGUUGUUCGGAAUCACUGGGCGUAAAGGGUGUCUAGGCGGUCAGGUAAGUGAGAUGUGAAAUGCCCCGGCUUACCCGGGGACCUGCAUCUCAUACUGCCUGGCUUGAGUAUGGGAGAGGAUGAGGGAAUUCCUGGUGUAGCGGUGAAAUGCGUAGAUAUCAGGAGGAACACCGGUGGCGAAAGCGCUCAUCUGGCCCAAUACUGACGCUGAAGCACGAAAGCUAGGGGAGCAAAAGGG
rnacentral:rRNA from 1 species